GCCGGCCGCCAUGGCGGGGAGGACAUGCCCGUUCCCAUCCCGAACACGGAAGCCAAGCUCCCCUGCGCCGAUGAUACUGCCCAUGGCGGGAAAGUAGGUAGCGGCCGGCU
rfam:Treponema succinifaciens DSM 2489, complete genome.